GACGAACGCUGGCGGCGUGCUUAACACAUGCAAGUCGAACGGAAAGGCCCUGCUUGCAGGGUACUCGAGUGGCGAACGGGUGAGUAACACGUGGGUGAUCUGCCCUGCACUUCGGGAUAAGCUUGGGAAACUGGGUCUAAUACCGGAUAGGAGCCAUCUUUAGUGUGGUGGUUGGAAAGUUUUUUCGGUGUAGGAUGAGCUCGCGGCCUAUCAGCUUGUUGGUGGGGUAAUGGCGUACCAAGGCGGCGACGGGUAGCCGGCCUGAGAGGGUGUACGGCCACAUUGGGACUGAGAUACGGCCCAGACUCCGACGGGAGGCAGAAGUGGGGAAUAUUGCACAAAGGGCGCAAGCCUGAUGCAGCGACGCCGCGUGGGGGAUGAAGGCCUUCGGGUUGUAAACUCCUUUCGCUAGGGACGAAGCUUUGUUGUGACGGUACCUAGAUAAGAAGCACCGGCUAACUACGUG
rnacentral:rRNA from 1 species